AGGGAGGAAAAUUAAGAGAGUGCAAAAAAAAAAAUGCAGUAUUGCACGUCACCACUAGGAAGAAAUUGGUUAAAUUUUGCCCCCUAGCGGCCCAAAUCUGGGUGUGGCCCCUUCUGCACAAUGGAGCUGAACAAGGCAAAGCAGGGACAAGGCUGAGAGCAGCUUCCAGGUUGUGCUGGGAUCUGAGCGCAGGAACACCCAAGGGCAGUUCGAGGGCAGGCAGCUUCACCCUUCGCCACUGCCAACCCCCAGCAUUCUCCUCACUGGGAGGGCAGUGGGGCCACAGCAGUGGCACAAAACCUGCAUGCUGAGACCAGCCACAACUUCCUCUCCCGGUGCUGAAGAGACAAAACCCCUUGGGGUUGCAUGGCUGCUGGAGGCAAUGGGUGAACCGCCACAGACUGUGGUCAUGAAGAUUUUUGGGGGUCCUGCAGAGACCCGCGAGGAGAAAAUUCAGUCUCAUAUGCAAUCCCUAAGGAAGAUAUUGGUAGAGUUUCUAGGCUGGAG